rnacentral:rRNA from 1 species
GACAGAGGGUGCAAACGUUGUUCGGAAUUACUGGGCGUAAAGCGCAUGUAGGCGGUUCGUUAAGUCAGAUGUGAAAGCCCUGGGCUUAACCCAGGAAGUGCAUUUGGAACUCACGAACUUGAGUCCCGGAGAGGAAGGCGGAAUUCUCGGUGUAGAGGUGAAAUUCGUAGAUAUCGAGAGGAACAUCGGUGGCGAAGGCGGCCUUCUGGACGGUGACUGACGCUGAGAUGCGAAAGCGUGGGGAGCAAACAGG